UUUCAAAUUGAGAGUUUGAUCCUGGCUCAGGACGAACGCUGGCGGCGUGCCUAAUACAUGCAAGUCGAGC
rnacentral:rRNA from 1 species